CUCUUAUCAAGAGCGGCGGAGGGAAUAGGCCCUGCGAAGCCCGGCAACCGGCAGACCCUGUCUGCAAAGGUGCUAAUUCCUACAGAUUCGGGAGCGGAUCUGACAGAUAAGGG
rnacentral:ncRNA from 2 species